GUCCAGAAGCGUAGCCAAUCAACACGCAGUACGAAUCUGUCUUUAUUAGGUAUGGUAUUGUUCAACGGUCUUUCAUGUUCGAGAUGCGGUAGUGUGUACGUGCUACGGAAUAGUUACCUAUUUGAACGUUAUAAUUAUGGUGUUUAGCAAGUGCUUGAGCAAUUGGAUGGGUCAUACGGCAACCAGACGGACUAUUCCACAUGUGGAAAAUCCUCCCCUGAUGCACUUGGUGAUACACAAAGAAUCGUCUUCUAGUAACACAAUUCUUUAUAAAUUCUUUUCCAUGCUGUUAUGACCCGGACCACCAAUCCUACUCAAUACUAUCAAAAUCGCAUUUUACAGGGCCAUUGCCCAAAUUGACCUUUAUUUAACAAUGAACUACGAUUAUUUAAAAUUUAAACAUCGGC